CGAUCGAUGAUCACUCCCGUAAAUUCAUUCCUUGGAAAUCUGAACAAAAUGAGUGGGCAAUCCCUACAGUCUCCUCAUUGAAACUGACGUCC